rnacentral:rRNA from 1 species
AUUGAACGCUGGCGGCAGGCUUAACACAUGCAAGUCGAGCGAGCGGCGGACGGGUGAGUAAUGUCUGGGAAACGGCCUGAUGGAGGGGGUUAACUACUGGAAACGGUAGCUAAUACCGCAGACAACCGGAGGUGCCCAGAGGGGAUUAGCUAGUAGGUGGGGUAAUGGCUCACCUAGGCGACGAUCCCUAGCUGGUCUGAGAGGAUGACCAGCCACACUGGAACUGAGACACGGUCCAGACUCCUACGGGAGGCAGCAGUGGGGAAUAUUGCACAAUGGGCGCAAGCCUGAUGCAGCCAUGCCGCGUGUGUGAAGAAGGCCUUCGGGUUGUAAAGCACUUUCAGCGAGGAGGCGUUACUCGCAGAAGAAGCACCGGCUAACUCCGUGCCAGCAGCCGCGGUAAUUC